rnacentral:rRNA from 1 species
AUUGAACGCUGGCGGCAUGUUUUACACAUGCAAGUCGAACGGUAACAGCACUUCGGUGGCUGACGAGUGGCGAACGGGUGAGUAAUACAUCGGAACGUGCCUAGUAGUGGGGAUAACUACUCGAAAGAGUAGCUAAUACCGCAUGAGAUCUAAGGAUGAAAGCAGGGGACCUUCGGGCCUUGCGCUACUAGAGCGGCUGAUGGCAGAUUAGGUAGUUGGUGGGAUAAAAGCUUACCAAGCCGACGAUCUGUAGCUGGUCUGAGAGGACGACCAGCCACACUGGGACUGAGACACGGCCCAGACUCCUACGGGAGGCAGCAGUGGGGAAUUUUGGACAAUGGGCGCAAGCCUGAUCCAGCAAUGCCGCGUGCAGGAUGAAGGCCUUCGGGUUGUAAACUGCUUUUGUACGGAACGAAAAGCCCUCUUCUAAUACAGGAGGGUCAUGACGGUACCGUAAGAAUAAGCACCGGCUAACUACGUG